UAACUUGGCAGAAAUUAUGCGUUAAAUUUAGGAUUUAAAGAUGUUCAAUACAGUUAU
rnacentral:tRNA from 1 species